rnacentral:lncRNA from 1 species
CCGGAGUAACAAUUUCUGUCCUAUCUGGUAGGAUGUCUGUUUUUUAAUCAUAAAUGUGUACUGGAUUUUACAAACUGCUUUUUCUUCACCGAAGCAAUCAACUGACUGUUUUGUUUUUUUUUUUUAAACUUCAUUUCAUUUUUGAGACAGGGUUUGCCUACUCUGUCCUUGAACUUGCUUCUGUCCCUGCUUCCUCCUGCCUGAUGCUGGAAUUAUAGCCGUGUACCACCAUGCUGGGGCCAAGAUAGCUUCCUUUUCUCUUCUAAGACUUUGUUUCAUGCCUCCCAGGGUGACCUGGAGUGAACUCCCUUUGUGACUGAGGCCAGCCUCGAAUUCCUGACCCUCCAGGCUCCACCUUGUAAAUGUGAUGAUUAUAGGCACGCGUCCCUACCACACCUGGCCUAGAAAGCGCUUCAGCACCUGUAAUCGCUCGUUCCCUUUACCCCUGUCGGGUCUACUCUUCAGUUUCGCAGGUCCCAAAGACAAGCAAAGUUAAGGGUGCAGGAGAAAUGAAAUUCCUUAACCUGGCAACUGCUUGGCUUUCCUGGUUACUGAAGUCUAGAAACUUCAAGAGAACGGCUCCAGCCCAGGCUGCUCUAAGAGCGUCUCCACAGGGACAUUCCUUUCUGAGAGCCAAGGCAUUUGUGCCCUCAAGUUUAACUGCAUUAGCCCUCCUGUCUCUCUCCUUAAAUCUAAAGAGAUUACAAUUCAUAAAAGCCUUGAGGAUUCAGGUUAGAAAAUGAGGUUCUUUAGAGAAAUUAACCAACCAGCUCAGAGAGGUUACUUGAUUCUAAAGUUGGUUUCAUAUUUGAAUAAUGUUGUAAUUUGCAUCUCGGGAACUGUAUAACCUCAGAAGUCAUGUGUUAUAUCAUCUAGUGUGACAAGGACUGGAAGUUUGAGUGUGCCAGAGGCCAAAGGGCCAGCCAAGGCUACAAAAAAACUAACCCUGGAUCUUACUGUUAAUAAAAAGCUUUGGAUUUAGCCGGGCGUGGUGGUGCAUGCCUUUAAUCCCAGCACUCGGGAGGCAGAGGCAGGUGGAUUUCUGAGUUCAAGGCCAGCCUGGUCUACAAAGUGAGUUCCAGGACAGCCAAGGCUAUAAAGAGAAACCCUGUCUCGGAAAAAAAAAAAAAAACCAAACAAAAAAAAGCUUUGGAUUUUGAAAAAAUAAGUAUACUUCUUGAAUUAUUCCAAUUUAGGAAAUUAUAUAUAAAGGCCAAUUUCCAAGGACAAGAUGUCAGAUUGGUGGGUUUUCGUUGUUGUUUGGUUGGUUGGUUUUGGUUUUGACUUUUUGUGACAGUCUCUGUGUAUCCCUGGCUGUCCUGGAACUCUUACUCCGUAGACCAGGCUGGCCUCGGACUCAGAGAUCCGUCUGCCUCUGCCUCCCGAGUGCUGAGAUUACAGACUUGCACCACCACUGCCAGGUCAAGACAUCAGUUUUAACGAGUGUUAAGUCUCCAUGGCUUCUAUGUAGUUCAUGCUAUGCCCUGUGCUCCUGAAUGUGAGAAGGUCUUCUUAGUUACUCCAUUUCUUCUGUCCUUGGUAACUAUGGUGAUGCCACAUGAUAGAUAGCUCAUCCCUCUCUCUCUGAGAAGGAGCUGGGCCCCUGCUGUGAGCUCCCUGAAAUCUGUCCAUCCACA